rnacentral:rRNA from 1 species
UGGGGAAUAUUGGACAAUGGGGGCAACCCUGAUCCAGCAAUGCCGCGUGAGUGAUGAAGGCCUUAGGGUUGUAAAGCUCUUUUACCCGAGAUGAUAAUGACAGUAUCGGGAGAAUAAGCUCCGGCUAACUCCGUGCCAGCAGCCGCGGUAAUACGGAGGGAGCUAGCGUUGUUCGGAAUUACUGGGCGUAAAGCGCACGUAGGCGGCGAUUUAAGUCAGAGGUGAAAGCCCGGGGCUCAACCCCGGAACUGCCUUUGAGACUGGAUUGCUUGAAUCCUGGAGAGGUGAGUGGAAUUCCGAGUGUAGAGGUGAAAUUCGUAGAUAUUCGGAAGAACACCAGUGGCGAAGGCGGCUCACUGGACAGGUAUUGACGCUGAGGUGCGAAAGCGUGGGGAGCAAACA